rnacentral:rRNA from 1 species
UGGGGAAUAUUGCACAAUGGGGGAAACCCUGAUGCAGCGACGCCGCGUGAAGGAAGAAGUAUCUCGGUAUGUAAACUUCUAUCAGCAGGGAAGAUAGUGACGGUACCUGACUAAGAAGCCCCGGCUAACUAUGUGCCAGCAGCCGCGGUAAAACGUAGGUCACAAGCGUUGUCCGGAAUUACUGGGUGUAAAGGGAGCGCAGGCGGGAAGACAAGUUGGAAGUGAAAUCCAUGGGCUCAACCCAUGAACUGCUUUCAAAACUGUUUUUCUUGAGUAGUGCAGAGGUAGGCGGAAUUCCCGGUGUAGCGGUGGAAUGCGUAGAUAUCGGGAGGAACACCAGUGGCGAAGGCGGCCUACUGGGCACCAACUGACGCUGAGGCUCGAAAGUGUGGGUAGCAAACAGGAUUAGAUACCCUGGUAGUCCACACUGUAAACGAUGAUUACUAGGUGUUGGAGGAUUGACCCCUUCAGUGCCGCAGUUAACACAAUAAGUAAUCCACCUGGGGAGUACGACCGCAAGGUUGAAACUCAAAGGAAUUGACGGGGGCCCGCACAAGCAGUGGAGUAUGUGGUUUAAUUCGACGCAACGCGAAGAACCUUACCAAGUCUUGACAUCCCUUGACGAUGCUGGAAACAGUAUUUCUCUUCGGAGCAAGGAGACAGGUGGUGCAUGGUUGUCGUCAGCUCGUGUCGUGAGAUGUUGGGUUAAGUCCCGCAACGAGCGCAACCCUUAUGGUCAGUUACUACGCAAGAGGACUCUGGCCAGACUGCCGUUGACAAAACGGAGGAAGGUGGGGAUGACGUCAAAUCAUCAUGCCCUUUAUGACUUGGGCUACACACGUACUACAAUGGCGUUAAACAAAGAGAAGCAAGACCGCGAGGUGGAGCAAAACUCAGAAACAACGUCCCAGUUCGGACUGCAGGCUGCAACUCGCCUGCACGAAGUCGGAAUUGCUAGUAAUCGCAGAUCAGCAUGCUGCGGUGAAUACGUUCCC